CCAAGGGCACAGUGCUUUUCAUCCCAGUGCUGCUUUGCUGGUCUCCUUUCUCCUGCUACAAAGUAGAGAGAAGAGGGAUGGAAAACAGGGAGUUUGGAGGACACUGUGAGACAUACGUGCUUGGGUCUGUGGGAAAAUCUCACCUCUGGAGCCAGCUUCAGUGAGUUUACAUAGCACAUGACAAUUUCCUAACAAAAGGUAUUCAUUCCACUGUAAAACUGAAGAAAAUACCUUUUUCUGAAGAACUAGAGAAGCGAGAGAGAAGGAAUCCAGUUGCUUGCUGUGCUGUGUAUUGAGAAUGAGGACAAAAAGGAGAUCAUGCCACACAGCUUCCAGAAGCCACGAUCAAAGAGGAUCAAGCCAACAAAACUAUCUGCCUUUACCCCUGGGUAACUUGAGAUACUCUCUGGCUAUACUUGGGGUGAGGGCCAAACUGCUUGAAGGCCUGUACCUGCAAUUAGUGUGUGUCUACACCUGGGAGAAGACAGCCUGAAAAACUGGAGGAAUAAAUAAAUGCCUUUUCACCUACAAACAA